UGGUGGCAAAGAGAGAAAAUGAGAGCCAAGAAAAGGGCUUUCCCCUUAUAAAAUCAUAAGAUCUCAUGAGACUUAUUCACUACCACAAGAACAGUAUGGAGGAAACCGUUCCCACGAUUCAAUUAUUCCCCACCAGGUCCCUCCCACAACACGUGGGAAUUAUGGGAGCUACAAUUCAAGAUGAGAUUUGGGUGGAGACACAGCCAAACCAUAUCACACCUACACAUGUCUAUAUACACACACAGCAUUUUUCCAAAGUUUCUUCUCUUAAGGGCAGAUAGCAUUAGUUGCGGAUGCUUACUUGCUGUACCAAACCCAUUGUGAAGCCAGGCCUCCUCACUCCCAUUCUAAUGCCCUUAGGGGUAUGACUUGGGUUACCACUCCAAAUUCUCUUUUCUCUUGUGGUGAGUUUCUCCUCAAAAGCACCUGAUAUCUUUUGUUAAAUGAUCUCAGUUGGAUCCAUCUUAAUCUAUUGAUAUUAUAGUAAUAAUUUUAAACUUCAAAAGGCAAGUGUCAGUGUUUUACCCACUACUUCCCAGAAGGCUCCUUAGACCUUAUGCAAAUAUACCCAUGGAGGGUUAUUGUUCUUGUUGUCAUUAUCGCUGUGGUUGUUGUUUUACAGUCUCCCAGAAGGACAGUAUUUGUCAAUAUAAGACAAAAGUUCUGUUACAUACCUUCCCCUGAACAAUGGUAACUUUGGACAUCACUUCUACCUGAAAGAGACCUUCGAGCAAUUCUUCUCAGGCAUGGGCUCUCACUAGGUUGCUUAAACUGGCCUUGAACUCAAAAGAUCCUCACUUCGGCCUCAAGUUGCUGUGAUUAUAAGCAGGAGACACCAUGCCAAGCUAUAAAUUCAAAUUUUAAAAAUUAACUUUAUAGGUAAAUAAAAAACAAAACAAUGAAACAACAAA
rnacentral:lncRNA from 10 species